rnacentral:lncRNA from 1 species
CCGCCGACACCCGCACGCAGGCUCCCGCCGGCGCGGCACCGUCCCCACCGCUGCUGAGCGCGCCUCUGCCCAUAGUCUCGAGGGCCAGAUGUGACGGGAGAGGUGCUGCAGUUGCGGAAAUUGCGGGGCGCAGCCAAGCCCCUGUUGGCACGUGGCCCAUGCCACAAAAUUAACCCGGGCGCCAGGGAACCCAGGAGAAUGUAAAGUUAGACCUGACUUUUUAGUCUUGUGUGCCGAAUAAUAGAAAGAGACACCAGAGAUGCACCUGCACAGAGGGAAGGCCAUGUGAGGACACAGAGAGAAGGUGCAGUCUACAAGUCAAGAAGAAUGGCUUCACCAGAAACCAGCCCUACUGGCACCUUGAUCUUGGACUUCCAGCCUCCAGCACUAUAAGUCCUUGGGCAACCUGACCUCCGGGCAUCAAUGGCAGCUGGAUGCUGGUUAUCUGGUGAUCAUAACUUCCUUGAAGGCAUUCUUUUUCUUCUGUAAAACAAGCUCACAGAUCCUUAUGACCCUUGAAUCACCCCUCAGGUUAAACAAGAAAACAGCAAAUUGACAAGAUUAUCUUCUUUUCAUCUAUGUCUGUGUUGGGAACAAGGUCAAAAGGGUCACAUCAAAAGGAUCCUUGGCCACAUCUUUUUCUUCUUUCACUCCCUGAGUCCUUUUCUCCCAACUAUGCCAACUGAGGAUUGUACAGCAUCUUCUUUUGACUGGACUUCUUGAAGAGGAGCAGCUGUGUGUUGGAAAGGAAGGACCCUCCUCGGCAGUAGUGCUGGAGACUCCUGACUUUAUCAUCAACAAUACCUCUGUGAUCUGAAGCAAGUUACUUCUCAUAUCUGGGCUGAUUCCUUCAUUCUAAAAUGAGAUUUGGUGGCAGUGUCAGGAUCCAAAGUGAACUUCUGAUGGCAUUCGUGGACAAGGGGAAACACAGCUGUGGUGCCCUGUGAACACUUUUGAGUUCAGUCUUUCUCACCAUUUCAAAGGGCCAUUCAUGAGUUCCUCUCAGUUUGAGCUCCCCUCUCUGUUUGCAUUAGAGCUCCC